rnacentral:rRNA from 1 species
AGAGUUUGAUCCUGGCUCAGGACGAACGCUGGCGGCACGCUUAACACAUGCAAGUCGAACGAGAGAAGAGGAGCUUGCUUUUCUGAUCUAGUGGCGGACGGGUGAGUAACACGUGAGCAAUCUGCCUUUCAGAGGGGGAUACCGAUUGGAAACGAUCGUUAAUACCGCAUAACAUAAUUGAACCGCAUGACUUGAUUAUCAAAGAUUUAUCGCUGAAAGAUGAGCUCGCGUCUGAUUAGCUAGUUGGUAAGGUAACGGCUUACCAAGGCGACGAUCAGUAGCCGGACUGAGAGGUUGAUCGGCCACAUUGGGACUGAGACACGGCCCAGACUCCUACGGGAGGCAGCAGUGGGGAAUAUUGCACAAUGGAGGAAACUCUGAUGCAGCGAUGCCGCGUGAGGGAAGAAGGUUUUAGGAUUGUAAACCUCUGUCUUCAGGGACGAAAAAAGACGGUACCUGAGGAGGAAGCUCCGGCUAACUACGUGCCAGCAGCCGCGGUAAUACGUAGGGAGCGAGCGUUGUCCGGAAUUACUGGGUGUAAAGGGAGCGUAGGCGGGAUCGCAAGUCAGAUGUGAAAACUAUGGGCUUAACCCAUAAACUGCAUUUGAAACUGUGGUUCUUGAGUGAAGUAGAGGUAAGCGGAAUUCCUAGUGUAGCGGUGGAAUGCGUAGAUAUUAGGAGGAACAUCAGUGGCGAAGGCGGCUUACUGGGCUUUAACUGACGCUGAGGCUCGAAAGCGUGGGGAGCAAACAGGAUUAGAUACCCUGGUAGUCCACGCCGUAAACGAUGAUUACUAGGUGUGGGGGGACUGACCCCUUCCGUGCCGCAGCAAACGCAAUAAGUAAUCCACCUGGGGAGUACGACCGCAAGGUUGAAACUCAAAGGAAUUUACGGGGGCCCGCACAAGCAGUGGAGUAUGUGGAUUAAUUCGAAGCAACGCGAAGAACCUUACCAGGUCUUGGCAUCGUAUGCAUAGCUCAGAGAUGAGUGAAAUCUCUUCGGAGACAUAUAGACAGGUGGUGCAUGGUUGUCGUCAGCUCGUGUCGUGAGAUGUUGGGUUAAGUCCCGCAACGAGCGCAACCCUUACUGUUAGUUGCUACGCAAGAGCACUCUAGCAGGACUGCCGUUGACAAAACGGAGGAAGGUGGGGAUGACGUCAAAUCAUCAUGCCCCUUAUGACCUGGGCCUCACACGUACUACAAUGGCUGUCAACAGAGGGAAGCAAAGCCGCGAGGUGGAGCGAACCCCUAAAAGCAGUCUUAGUUCGGAUUGUAGGCUGCAACCCGCCUACAUGAAGUCGGAAUUGCUAGUAAUCGCAGAUCAGCAUGCUGCGGUGAAUACGUUCCCGGGCCUUGUACACACCGCCCGUCACGCCAUGGGAGUCGGUAACACCCGAAGCCUGUAGUCUAACCGCAAGGAGGACGCAGUCGAAGGUGGGAUUGAUGACUGGGGUGAAGUCGUAACAAGGUA